rnacentral:lncRNA from 1 species
UGAAUUUUUUCACAAAGUUUCGGGCACUCUCAAAGUGUACUCGCGAGUAGUAGAGUAUCGGAAUAAAAUUUGAAAAGUAGAAAGAAAGGGUAAAUCGAUUCAUCGAUAAAAUGGGGAUAUACAACAAACUUGCAAUUUUGACCUUCGUGGUUAUGGCCGCUGCAGCACCAGCUGCUUUAAGCUCUAUUUUGGAAAUUGAAAUUUCUCUCCUAGGACAGAAACUAGUAGAGUUGAAACUUCCGUGAGUCACUCGAAUUCCAGUUUGACUCGUCGCACUUCGGUCCUUCGCAAUCGGUCUCUGAGAUGGGGGCGUUUAUAGAAAAUCGAAGAUGUGUAAAAAAAUAGGUAUAACAAAAAAAUUUUUAACGAAAAAUGAAGCAAAAACAAAAUUAUUGUAAAACAAUUACUUCACGAAUAAAACGAUGUCCUCAAUUUCA